AUACCAAGGGAUUCCCCUAGUAGCGGCGAGCGAAGCGGGAAAAGCUCAAAUUUGUAAUCUGGCGCCUUCGGCGUCCGAGUUGUAAUCUCGAGAAAUGUUUUCCGUGUUAGACCGCAUACAAGUCUCUUGGAACCAGAGCGUCAUAGUGGUGAGAACCCAGUACACGAUGCGGAUGCCUAAUACUUUGUGAUACAUUUUCGAAGAGUCGAGUUGUUUGGGAAUGCAGCUCAAAUUGGGUGGUAAAUUCCAUCUAAAGCUAAAUAUUGGCGAGAGACCGAUAGCGAACAAGUACCGUGAGGGAAAGAUGAAAAGCACUUUGGAAAGAGAGUUUAACAGUACGUGAAAUUGUUGGAAGGGAAACACAUGCAGUCAGACUUGCUAUUCGGGGCAACUCGAUUGGCAGGCCCGCAUUCAGUUUUUCGGGGCGGAAAAGCAUAGAGAGAAGGUAGCAGUUUCGGCUGUGUUAUAGCUCUUUAUUGGAUUCGCCCUGGGGGACUGAGGAACGCAGCGUGCUUUUAGCAUGAGCUUCGGCUUAUCCACGCUUAGGAUGCGGGUGUAAUGGCUGUAUAA
rnacentral:rRNA from 1 species